rnacentral:rRNA from 1 species
UACGUAGGGUGCAAGCGUUGUCCGGAAUUAUUGGGCGUAAAGAGCUCGUAGGCGGUCUGUCGCGUCGAAUGUGAAAACCCCGGGGCUCAACCCCGGGCCUGCAUUCGAUACGGGCAGACUAGAGUUCGGUAGGGGAGUCUGGAAUUCCUGGUGUAGCGGUGAAAUGCGCAGAUAUCAGGAGGAACACCGGUGGCGAAGGCGGGUCUCUGGGCCGAUAUCGACGCUGAGGAGCGAAAGCGUGGGGAGCGAACAGG